rfam:Felis catus isolate Cinnamon breed Abyssinian chromosome C1, whole genome shotgun sequence.
GCCUGGAUGGCUCAGUUGGUUAAGCAUCUGACUUCGGCUCAGAUCAUGAUCUCACCGUCCAUGAGUUUGAGUCCCACAUCAGGCU